CCAAAGGCAAUCUCAAGAAACGACAAUUUAGAGGAAACACGUUUAGAAAGCUUUCUGUACAAGAGGGUAUGUCACCUGGCAAUGAUGUUUCUAAUUGUAUUCUUCAACAAGUGCAUCAUCAAAGAAGCUCUCACCAUUUCGAGAAAGUUACAACGAAUUUACUCCUGCAACCGAACUUAGCGACCUGUCUUUAAGAGCAAGCUACAAAAUAGCGCUCAAAAUUGCAAGAGCGAAUAAUCCUUUCAGUGAUGGUGAUUUCAUCAAGGAAUUUAUUGUUGAGGCAGCAGAACUCUUGACGCCACUGGAAGUAAAGAAGUUUAGUGGAAUUAGUCUUUCCAGACAGACAAUAGCUUGGCGCAUAGCUGGUAUGGCAGCGGAUGUCUACAGGCAGUUAAUUGAUAGUGCCUGCAAGUUUAUUGCAUUCUCGAUUGCUUUGGACGAGUCGACCGACAUUUCGGACACAGCACAGCUACCGAUUUAUGUUGGUGCACGUGAAAGAACAACUGUUAGAUUUAGUACCAAUGAAACACACAGUGAGGGGUACCAACUUGCUAAAAGCAGUUGAAGAGACAGUUGAAGCCAUUGUCUUGAAUUGGAAAAUGUUAAGUUUCAGUCACCACGGAUGGAGCGCCAGCAAUUCGAGGUGCUCAAAAUGGGCUUGUAGCAUUGUUGCGUAAAAAACCAGGAUGAUCGACAGAAGAUUUGUACGGAAUUCACUGUUUCGUACACCAAGAAGCUCUUUGUACUAAGUAUGCAAAUUUGGAGCACAUGAUGAAGUUGGUAGUCACCAUAGUACAUUUUUUGAAGUCGCAUGGCUUUGUACACCGUCAGUUUCAACAGUUUCUCAUGGAACUGGACGAAGAGUACGGAGAUGUUACUUACCACUGGGAAAUACGUUGGUUAAGUCGAGGAUAAUGCCUCGAAAGAUUUUUUCAAUUUAAGACUCACUAUUGUUGAGUUUCUGAAGAAAAAAAGGAAAGGCAGAGCCAAAAUUAGAAGAUCCAAAAUGGAUUGCAGACCCCGCCUUUUUAGUUGAUCUGACUGCACACUUGAACACUCUCAAUAAGACUUUGCAAGGUGAGUAGCAGCUUGUUUCUGAUCUGAUGAAAAAAGUGAAUGCAUUUAAUAAGAAACUCGCAUUGUGGAAGGAACAACUUAUGAAAAUGAAUACCGCCCAUUGCCCUACACUCUCUAAAGUCAGAGAGAGUGCAACUUCUGACGAAUUCAUUUCUGUGUUGGAGGAACUACAGGCACAAUUUUCUAAACAUUUUCAGGACACUGCCAGUCUGAAAUCUGCUUUUGAACUAUUUUCUAGACCCUUUGCCGUUUCAGUUGAAAGUACUCCAGUUCAUUUCCAAUUGGAAUUGAUCGAUCUGCAGUGUAAUUCCGUUUAAAGGACAAAUUUUGCUACGUAAAAACUGUCCAGGAAUUUUACGAAGGUUUUCCUCGGGAAGAGUUUCCCCGUCUCCACAAUGAGGCUGCAAAAGUUAUAUCAGUGUUUGGAUCGACAUAUGUGUGCGAAAGGUUUAUUUCGAUUAUGAAACUAAAUAAGUCAGAAUUAUGUGGCAGUCUGAGUGACGAAAAUAUGGGAAACUGUCUGCAUUUGUCCGUGUACCAUCAGUUUGUGCCGGAUAUGUACUUUAUUAUGUCUACAGUGAACCAAAAAUGAUUAAAUUAAUGGUGAUAAUUUUGUUGUAUUUGUCAUAUGUUUUGUUGAGAAUUGUAGUUAUUGCAAAUUUUGUGCAGUAGUUCCAGAAUGUAAAAUUUGCUUGUUUCACAUGUAGUUGGAAUCACUUAUUCCACAUCAUACUGCAUAGAGAUGGGCAAA